rnacentral:lncRNA from 1 species
GAAUAAUAAAAUAUGGAAAUAACAUGUAAAUCUUUGCGUGGAACAUAUUAACUGACCUAAAUACAAUUUUACACAACAAUAUAAGUUUGACGGAAUUGUGGACUAAUUUCCACUGUUUCUAUUGACAUCUUAUUACGGUAUGUUGUAUGGUUAUUGAUCCACAUUGACAGGAAAUCAGUCCAUUGAAAUAUAACGUAACAAACACGUAUAAGGUGUUACCACAUGCCAUUAUCUUCAUGUAACCUACAAUGCCUCAGUAAUCUUAUUUGUUUUGUUUUUUUCAUGUUUUCAGUCAGUUUAAUAUUAAGGUAAUUAUAUAUCUCAGUCUACUUGAUGCAUUUGUGAUGGAAAUGUCAACCAAUUCCCAGCCUUGGGUUAUUUAUUAGUAUCUGCAUCAGCUUGAAAAUAUUAUUUUCAAUCUAAUAUUUUAUUUCUGUAAAAAAAAAAUUUUUUAUACAAAUCAAUAUAUUUGAAGAAAAAAAAGAUUUUAUUUUCAAAGAUCUAUAAGUCAUCAUUAAAGUCAUUCAGUAUUUUUCUGAAGUAUCAGCAUUCAAGUUCAGUGCUUUAUUAGUCAAUGACAUUAUUUUCAAGCUAAAUGUACAAAUGAUCUCCAUUUUAUAAAGGCCAUAAAUGUCCUAAGGUGCUGGAAUUAUCAGUAUUUGCAUGUUUUAACUGUGGUUGAUGGUGCCAUAAAUAGACUCCACACCUAUUGCAUAUUGAAUUUAAAUAUUUCUUUUGCAAGCCUUAUUCAGUCACCCAGCUUUGAGUGGUCACAAGUAUAAUGGAUCACAAUUUUGUAUUAUUCAUGUCGUAAUGGGGUAGUUGCACUAGAUACCAAUUCGACAUAAUGUAACGUGUCCAACUCAUCAUAGUGUCCAGUAAAUACAAAGUAACUGUUGAAACUCUCAUUUAAUUCUCAAUUUUCUGAUGUCAACAUGCAGUGGUUAUAUCAUUUUAAGUCUCUUUAAGCUUUUAUAUUUCCAGAUAUAGCUCUCAAAUUGUGCUUCCAUUAAGGCUAAAAUCUGUCAUUGUUUCUUGUUUAAUUGAGGAAAAAAACAUAUUCUAAGUGACUACAGAAAUAUAGUAUUAAUACAGUAGAUCUCUAUUAAUAUAAAUGUUUUAUGGUAAAAAAAAAAUCUUUGUUAUUUGAUUGGAAUUCUGGCGUUAGGUUUAUUUACUAAAUAACCAUAGAAUCUUUGUAUAAGAACUCGACUCUGGAGCAUAUUGGUUGAUCCAAGUGAAUAUGAUGCUGUGUUUGAUUCAUAAAUAAAUGUACUGGGUCUAUUCUUAUGCAGUUUUUGAACCUCCUAUCAUGGAACAGGAAUUAUGUAAUGUUUUAAAAGAUUAAGUCAUGUUUUGCUUUUGGAGUUGCAGGUCAGCACCAUAUCAUGCAUUAUAAUUCAUUGUACAAACAUCUAUCAUCUGUAUAUAUACCUGUAUAUAUUGUUACCAUGGGAACGUGCAAUGGGAACUAAUUUAACAAGCAUGUUGGUCUUUUUAUUAUAUCCUCUUUUUAUAGUGCUUAAUCAUUUUCAUAUAUAUGUAAUUAUGGAAAUUUUAAUAUAUGCAUUUAAACAUUAUUUACAUAUUUAAAGCAUGUACAUUAAAAAAAGUAUGUAAUAUAGAAACAAACUAAAUUGUAGUUGUGGAAUUUUGUCUCGCCUAGAAGUAGAGUUUUUCUUGUAUGGCAAAAUAGAUGUUUGUCAUUUUCAUCCAUAUGGUGAAUUUAAUUAUUCAAAUUUUCCAUAUCGGUCAUGUAACUUAUUAUUGUAAUUUUCUUUUGUUAAUUUUAUAUAAGCUUUGUGAUACUUAUAAUUAGAUCUGAUUGUACUAUUUAUUAAUUGAUAAAUUUAGUCAGUUCAGGAAUAUAAAAGGAAAAUUUAUAUCAGUAUAAAAUGUAUUGAUACUAUUAAAAGAAAACAUUAAAUUUGAAUUGAAAAACAUAUUUUAAUAGUUGGGAAUGUGCGUAAAGUACACAUGUCACCAUUGUUUAUAUUCUAAAAGUGAGGCAUUUGUGUCAUACACAUAUUUUUCCAUUGCUGUUGAGAAAAUAUGUAUACAGACCUUUCAAACAUGUAUGCUGUAGGAAGAUAAAAUUCUCAUGUCGUUCCUGAUCUGUUGAAUUUGGAAAACCUCACAAAUACAAACUUCCAUUUAACUUUUUAAGUCCAUAGUGUUCAAUAAGUAUCAGCAACAGUUUUAAAUUAUAUUUUGCUAUGUUGAAAAAUAAGAAGACUGCUAAAGAAAACUGUAAAGUAGCUAAAAGCUAUAUGCUUUGUUGGAUGUCGACAAUGUUAGAAAGUCCCAAUAGACACUAUCUUACAUGGGGAAAGACCAAUUAAAAUUAAAAAUUUUCAGACAAAAUUUGAAAAGUAAAAAUUAUUGUAUUGACAUCUUUAAUAAUGAUCAGGAAUGGCAGGUUUGAAUUAUAAACUAGUAACCUAGAAAUGAAAUACUCAAGCAGUUUAUUUACUUUUGUAACAGGAAAGAAGAAAAGAAUCAUUAAUUGGUGCAGAUUGUGUAUUUGUUUGGAAAAUAAUUGGAAGACAUUUGUUAUUGUUUUUUUUAUAUUUAAGAAUUGCAUAUAUUAUCAUUCUGUUGUGUUCAUACAAAUACAGUGCAUUUUAUGUUCAUUCAGAAUAUAUAUUCAGGAUGAAACGAUAUGUAUAUUUAAUUGACAAAUUUAACAGCCAAAUCUGAUAAGGGCAAAUUUAAAAACUUUGGUGCAUCUAUUCUCUUCACAUGAUAACUUAGCAGCAGUUGUUUCUUUCAUUUAAAAAAAAAGUCUUUAUUUCAUGUUUUGGUUCUUAAUAAAAAAAAAAACCUUUUAAAAAGUUAGUUUCUCAAGAGUCGAGCCCCCUCCCCCAUCAAACCAACCAACCAACACAAUUGAUAUUGUUAUGUGACUGCACUUUUUAAACAAGUUUUGGAUAAAGAUCUCAUUUCGUUUUGUUUGAAAAUCUGUAGUACAUUUUAUAAAAAAUGUUGGGUUAAAAUCAUUUGCCUUCAGCAAAAACAAAGUUUUGAUAAUCACAACCUUAUUUUAAGAGUUCACUCCGGUAAUGAACUAUGAACUUUGAACACAUUAUAAUAUUUGAAAGGUAGGCAGAACAUCUUAGAUCAUUGUAGAGAAUGUCUCCAAAAAAGCCUGUAGUAUAUCCUUGAAGAUUUAGACAUGUAGAAGGUAAUCAUCUCUGUCUGGACAAGAGAACACAAUGGCCUGCUUACAGUAAUCAAAUUUGAGGAAAGAAAUGAAGAGACAAACAUUUUUGGAUUGACAAAAUUAACUUUAAGACAACUAGAAAAAAAUGUACCAUGCUUUAUUUUCAAAAGGAGAUAGAAAAUAACUGGAAAAGAUAUCUAUGACCAUAUAUCAUCUUUAAAUCAUAAGCAAAUGUGAAACCACUGUUUUCUUAUCUAAAACAUUUAUUUUAAUUUAAAAACUUGAAGAACAUUGGAUAAGAAACUCUCAUUUUCCAUAAGCACAGAAAUAUCAGUUUUAAUUCAAUUCUGUUAACUAUAUGCUGUAACUUGAAAUAGCAGAGGAGAACAAGGUGCACACAACAAAUGAAAAAAACCAUUUUUAACACCAAAAGUAGAAUUAAAAAACAAUACUUUUUUUAUUCUGACAAGUAUUAAAUAAGUUUUACAAGAAGAACAAUUUAUGGGAAAGACAUCAAACCUUUUGAAAAUCUAAAAUGCUAUUCUUAAAAAUGAUUGAACAAAUUCGUGAGAUGCAAUAUAUUGUUUGUUUUGUUUUAUAUUUCUAUCAAUGUUUUUACAAUCAUUUUUUUCAUUUUUAAUGUCAACAUUUAAAACUGUUAGAUUUUUUAGUACAGUGUCCCUCUAGGUGUUAGUUACUAUAAAUAGAUCAGGGAAUCUCCGAAAUUUACAUAUCAGAUUUGACAGAAUUCUCUUUCUUGUGUUUUAAUUAGCAGAUCUUGAUAUUAUGUUGUUGACAAUCUUUUUAUUGCAAUCUAUCAUUUGUCAGUCAUUUGUUUUCAUUAUUGUAAACAUUAAAAUGGUUAAUUUAUUUAUA